UCAACUAGAAUGCAGAGUCCACAAAGUCAGU
rnacentral:piRNA from 2 species